CCUACGGGAGGCAGCAGUGGGGAAUCUUGCGCAAUGGGCGAAAGCCUGACGCAGCAACGCCGCGUGCGGGAUGAAGGCCUUCGGGUUGUAAACCGCUUUCAGCAGGGAAGAAAUUGACGGUACCUGCAGAAGAAGCCCCGGCCAACUACGUGCCAGCAGCCGCGGUAACACGUAGGGGGCGAGCGUUGUCCGGAUUUAUUGGGCGUAAAGAGCUCGUAGGCGGUUCGGUAAGUCGGGUGUGAAACCUCCAGGCUCAACCUGGAGACGCCACCUGAAACUGCUGUGACUAGAGUCCGGUAGGGGAGUGUGGAACUCCUGGUGUAGCGGUGAAAUGCGCAGAUAUCAGGAAGAACACCAGCGGCGAAGGCGGCACUCUGGGCCGGUACUGACGCUGAGGAGCGAAAGCGUGGGUAGCAAACAGGAUUAGAUACCCUGGUAGUCCACGCCGUAAACGUUGGGCACUAGGUGUGGGUCUCAACCAACGAGAUCCGUGCCGCAGCUACGACAUAAGUAGCCCGCCGUCGGGAGGUACGGCCGCGAGGACGUAAACUACAAUAGAUUGACGG
rnacentral:rRNA from 1 species